CGAAGAAGUGCAUCGGAAACUGGGAAACUUGAGUGCAGAAGAGGACAGUGGAACUCCAUGUGUAGCGGUGAAAUGCGUAGAUAUAUGGAAGAACACCAGUGGCGAAGGCGGCUGUCUGGUCUGUAACUGACGCUGAGGCUCGAAAGUAUGGGUAGCAAACAGGAUUAGAUACCCUGGUAGUCCAUACCGUAAACGAUGAAUGCUAAGUGUUGGAGGGUUUCCGCCCUUCAGUGCUGCAGCUAACGCAUUAAGCAUUCCGCCUGGGGAGUACGGCCGCAAGGCUGAAACUCAAAGGAAUUGACGGGGGCCCGCACAAGCGGUGGAGCAUGUGGUUUAAUUCGAAGCUACGCGAAGAACCUUACCAGGUCUUGACAUACUAUGCAAAUCUAAGAGAUUAGACGUUCCCUUCGGGGACAUGGAUACAGGUGGUGCAUGGUUGUCGUCAGCUCGUGUCGUGAGAUGUUGGGUUAAGUCCCGCAACGAGCGCAACCCUUAUUAUCAGUUGCCAGCAUUAAGUUGGGCACUCUGGUGAGACUGCCGGUGACAAACCGGAGGAAGGUGGGGAUGACGUCAAAUCAUCAUGCCCCUUAUGACCUGGGCUACACACGUGCUACAAUGGAUGGUACAACGAGUUGCGAACUCGCGAGAGUAAGCUAAUCUCUUAAAGCCAUUCUCAGUUCGGAUUGUAGGCUGCAACUCGCCUACAUGAAGUCGGAAUCGCUAGUAAUCGCGGAUCAGCAUGCCGCGGUGAAUACGUUCCCGGGCCUUGUACACACCGCCCGUCACACCAUGAGAGUUUGUAACACCCAAAGUCGGUGGGGUAACCUUUUAGGAACCAGCCGCCUAAGGUGGGACAGAUG
rnacentral:rRNA from 1 species